rnacentral:rRNA from 1 species
GACGAACGCUGGCGGCGUGCUUAACACAUGCAAGUCGAACGGAAAGGCCCUGCUUUUGUGGGGUGCUCGAGUGGCGAACGGGUGAGUAACACGUGAGUAACCUGCCCUUGACUUUGGGAUAACUUCAGGAAACUGGGGCUAAUACCGGAUAGGAGCUCCUGCUGCAUGGUGGGGGUUGGAAAGUUUCGGCGGUUGGGGAUGGACUCGCGGCUUAUCAGCUUGUUGGUGGGGUAGUGGCUUACCAAGGCUUUGACGGGUAGCCGGCCUGAGAGGUUGACCGGACACAUUGGGACUGAGAUACGGCCCAGACUCCUACGGGAGGCAGCAGUGGGGAAUAUUGCACAAUGGGCGGAAGCCUGAUGCAGCAACGCCGCGUGCGGGAUGACGGCCUUCGGGUUGUAAACCGCUUUCGCCUGUGACGAAGCGUGAGUGACGGUAAUGGGUAAAGAAGCACCGGCUAACUACGUG